AUAUUUACAAUAAAAUCAAACUUUUAAUUAAUUAUCUAAGCAUAUCGUACUUUCAAUGUUAAUAUUGUUAUAAUCCAACUCUUUUUGGCUAAUUCGCGAAGAGACGUUGAAAAGUGAAAUCUUCCCCAAACCAAAGAGUAGUUUCUAAGAUUUUAACAGAGACACAAAGAGAAAAAACAAAUGGGCGGGUUCAUAUUGGGCCAAAAUUAACAAUGGCAACGAUGUGUAAAAUAACUUCGUCGUUAGUCUCUGUUCUUCGCUAUCCUCUGCAGCAACCGCUUAAUGCGAGAGAGAGAGAGAUUUCCAUUGUAUUUUUAAUUUAAAAUAAAAUAUAUAAAAACAAGACCAAUGUAACAAAUGCAUUGCUUAGAUAUAUAUAACUCUAAAAAAUAUUCUUACAAGAUAGUAAGUUUGGUCUAUUAUCCUAUAAAUUCUAGCAUAUAACCGGUAACAACAUGAAAAAAAAAUGUAAAACUAUACAUAGAUUACAAAAAUGUAGAAAUCAAAAGAUAAGAUUAGCAAAUAACAAAGAUAUUCCCUUUUUAAUCAAAGAUCAGUAAAAAAAAUCGAAGUGGUUA
rnacentral:sRNA from 1 species